rnacentral:rRNA from 1 species
GACGAAGGUGGCUAGCGUUGCUCGGAUUUACUGGGCAUAAAGCGCGCGUAGGUGGUCGUGUAAGCGGGGGAUGAAAGCCCAUGGCUCACCCAUGGAACUGUCCCCCGGACUGCACGGCUCGAGGAAGGAAGGGGAGAAUGGAAUUCUCGGUGUAGAGGUGAAAUUCGUAGAUAUCGAGAGGAACACCGGUGGCGAAGGCGGCCAACUGGACGAACACUGACGCUGAGACUCGAAAGCGUGGGGAGCAAACAGG